rnacentral:snoRNA from 1 species
GGCCUCUCUCCCGUGGGGCUGUGGGGAGGUCCCUUGCUCCUCAGCCAAGGCUGGAGGCCAAGAUCAGCCCUUGAGGAUCGUUGUCAGGGCUGCCACAAGCCGGGCAGCCCUGUUUUCCUGCCUCAGUCAUUU